rnacentral:rRNA from 1 species
CACAAGCGGUGGAUGAUGUGGUUAAUUCGAUGCAACGCGAAAACCUUACCACCUUUGACAUGGCAGGAAUCCCGAAGAGAUUUGGAGUGCUCGAAAGAGAACCUGCACACAGGUGCUGCAUGGCUGUCGUCAGCUCGUGUCGUGAGAUGUUGGGUUAAGUCCCGCAACGAGCGCAACCCUUGCCAUUAGUUGCUACGAAAGGGCACUCUAAUGGGACUGCCGGUGACAAACCGGAGGAAGGUGGGGAUGACGUCAAGUCCUCAUGGCCCUUAUAGGUGGGGCUACACACGUCAUACAAUGGCCGGUACAGAGGGUAGCCAACCCGCGAGGGGGAGCCAAUCCCACAAAGCCGGUCGUAGUCCGGAUCGCAGUCUGCAACUCGACUGCGUGAAGUCGGAAUCGCUAGUAAUCGCGGAUCAGCAUGUCGCGGUGAAUACGUUCCCGGGUCUU